rnacentral:rRNA from 1 species
ACCCGCUGAAUUUAAGCAUAUAAGUAGGCGGUGGAAAAUGAACCAAAUGGGAUUCCUUAAGUAAUUGCGAAUGAACAAGGAAAUGCUCAGCUUGAAAAAUGGGGCCUUCGGCUUUGAAUUGUAAUUUUGAAAUGUAUUGCCAAUGGAGGCGCAGGUGCAAGCCUAUUGAAAGAAAGCGUCAAUGAGGGUGAGAUUCCUUUUUGUCAUUUGCAGUCCUCCGUGCGCGGUAUAUAUUUGACGAGUCACACUCCUCGGCAUUGGAAUGCAAAGUGGGUGGUAAAUUCCAUGUAAAGGUAAAUAUAUUAUUGAGACUGAUAGCAAACAAGUACCAUGAGGGAAAUAUGAAAAGGACUCUGAAAAGAGAAUUAAAAGAGUCUGCAUUUGCUGAACAGAAAGCAAACAGAAUUGAUCUUACUUGGUGAGAUUGUUGUGCCCACUUUAGCAUUUAUAUGUUGGAUGUGGGUGCGAUGGUUCUUGCCUUGAAUGUCAGCUUCUAUUUCUGCAAAUCAUUACCCUUGCACGUGAAUGGUAAUUUGCCUGUGGGUAUUGGAAUGCAUGUGUUUGCAAUGAUUUGUGAUUUGAUAUGUGUGAUUGGUGCUACUUGCGUGUUGCUCCUUUGUCAACGGGGAAGGCUGUCUUCCUUGAGCCCGCAAGCCCAAACACCUUACUGCUGGCAAAAUGUUUCUGCUUGACCCGUCUUGAAACACGGACCAAGGAGUCUAACAGAUGUGCAAGUUCGUGGGUGGGCAAACCUUUUAGCGCAAUGAAAGUAUUGGCUGGGAUACUUGCACCAGCAGCCGACCGAUUAGCAGACAGAGGUUUGAGUUUGAGCAUAUCUAUUAGGACCCGAAAGAUGGUGAACUAUGCCUGAACAGAAUGAAUUCAGAGGAAACUCUGAUGGAGGUUCGUAUCGAUACUGACGUGCAAAUCGUUCGUCAUACUUGGGUAUAGGGGCGAAAGACUAAUCGAACCAUCUAGUAGCUGGUUCCCUCCGAAGUUUCCCUCAGGAUAGCUGGAGUUGCACAGUUUUAUCAGGUAAAGCGAAUGAUUAGAGGAAUUGGGGACACGCUGUCCUUGACCUAUUCUCAAACUUUAAAUGGGUAAGAUGCAAUGGUUGCUUUAUUGAACUUUUGGAAUAAAUGGCAAUAUCAGGUGGGCCAUUUUUGGUAAGCAGAACUGGCGAUGAGGGAUGAACCUAACGUUGGGUUAAGGUGCUUAAUUGCUUGCUCAUUAGAUACCAGAAAGGGUGUUGGUUCAUUUUAACAGCAGGACGGUGGUCAUGGAAGUCGAAAUCCGCUAAGGAGUGUGUAACAACUCACCUGCCGAAUGGACUAGCCCCGAAAAUGGAUGGCGCUCAAGCGGGUGACCGAUACCCAACCACUGUUGCAAAAAGUAUCAGUGUGUAGGAGGGCAUGGCGGUUUGUGAUGCAGCCUUUGGUGAAAACCUGGGUGAAACAGCUCCUAGUGCAGAUCUUGGUGGUAGUAGC